rnacentral:rRNA from 1 species
CACGGAUAACAUACCGAAAGGUAUGCUAAUACGGGAUAAUAUAUUUGAGAGGCAUCUCUUAAAUAUCAAAGGUGAGCCAGUACAGGAUGGACCCGCGUCUGAUUAGCUAGUUGGUAAGGUAACGGCUUACCAAGGCAACGAUCAGUAGCCGACCUGAGAGGGUGAUCGGCCACAUUGGAACUGAGACACGGUCCAAACUCCUACGGGAGGCAGCAGUGGGGAAUAUUGCACAAUGGGCGAAAGCCUGAUGCAGCAACGCCGCGUGAGUGAUGAAGGCCUUCGGGUCGUAAAACUCUGUCCUCAAGGAAGAUAAUGACGGUACUUGAGGAGGAAGCCCCGGCUAACUACGUGCCAGCAGCCGCGGUAAUACGUAGGGGGCUAGCGUUAUCCGGAUUUACUGGGCGUAAAGGGUGCGUAGGCGGUCUUUCAAGUCAGGAGUGAAAGGCUACGGCUCAACCGUAGUAAGCUCUUGAAACUGGGAGACUUGAGUGCAGGAGAGGAGAGUGGAAUCCCUAGUGUAGCGGUGAAAUGCGUAGAUAUUAGGAGGAACACCAGUUGCGAAGGCGGCUCUCUGGACUGUAACUGACGCUGAGGCACGAAAGCGUGGGGAGCAAACAGGAUUAGAUACCCUGGUAGUCCACGCUGUAAACGAUGAGUACUAGGUGUCGGGGGUUACCCCCUUCGGUGCCGCAGCUAACG